rnacentral:rRNA from 1 species
UUGCCCCAGUAGCGGCGAGUGAAGCGGCAAAAGCUCAGAUUUGAAAUCGUGUUUCGGCACGAGUUGUAAAUUGCAGGUUGGGAACUCUGUGGAGGACGGUGUCCAAGUCCCUUGGAACAGGGCGCCAGUGAGGGUGAGAGCCCCGUGGGAUGCCGUCUGAAGCUCUGAGUCCCUUCUGAGGAGUCGAGUUGUUUGGGAAUGCAGCUCCAAGUGGGUGGUAAAUUCCAUCUAAGGCUAAAUACUGGCGAGAGACCGAUAGCGAACAAGUACUGUGAAGGAAAGAUGAAAAGCACUUUGAAAAGAGAGUGAAACAGCACGUGAAAUUGUUGAAAGGGAAGGGUAUUGGGCCCGACAUGGGGGGUGCGCACCUCUGCCUCUUGCAGGCGGGGCUCUGUGUGCCCUCUGGGCCAGCAUCGGUUUUUGCUGCGGGAGAAGGGGCUCUGGAAUGUGGCUCCUCGGAGUGUUAUAGCCAGGGCCAGAUGCCGCGUGCGGGGACCGAGGGCUGCGACAAUUUUUGUCACGGAUGCUGGCACAACGGCGCAAUACCGCCCGUCUUGAAACAUGGACCAAGGAGUCUAACGUCUAUGCGAGUGUUUGGGUGUGAAACCCGUGCGCGUAAUGAAAGUGAACGUAGGUCGGACCCUUCGGGGGCACGAUCGACCGAUCCUGAUGUUUAUCGGAUGGAUUUGAGUAGGAGCAUAGCUGUUGGGACCCGAAAGAUGGUGAACUAUGCCUGAAUAGGGUGAAGCCAGAGGAAACUCUGGUGGAGGCUCGUAGCGGUUCUGACGUGCAAAUCGAUCGUCGAAUUUGGGUAUAGGGGCGAA